GAUGAACGCUGGCGGCGUGCUUAACACAUGCAAGUCGAACGAAGCACCUUAUUCUGAUUUCUUCGGAAUGAAAAAUUUGGUGACUGAGUGGCGGACGGGUGAGUAACGCGUGGGUAACCUGCCUCAUACAGGGGGAUAACAGUUAGAAAUGGCUGCUAAUACCCCAUAAGACCACAGCACCGCAUGGUGCAGGGGUAAAAACUCCGGUGGUAUGAGAUGGACCCGCGUCUGAUUAGGUAGUUGGUGGGGUAACGGCCUACCAAGCCGACGAUCAGUAGCCGACCUGAGAGGGUGACCGGCCACAUUGGAACUGAGACACGGUCCAA
rnacentral:rRNA from 1 species